rnacentral:tRNA from 1 species
GAGGGUGUAGCUCAGUAGGUAGAGCACCGGCCUUUUAAGCCGGGUGUCGUGGGUUCGAACCCCCCCACCCUCA